AUUGAACGCUGGCGGCAGGCCUAACACAUGCAAGUCGAGCGGAUGAAGGGAGCUUGCUCCUGGAUUCAGCGGCGGACGGGUGAGUAAUGCCUAGGAAUCUGCCUGGUAGUGGGGGAUAACGUCCGGAAACGGGCGCUAAUACCGCAUACGUCCUGAGGGAGAAAGUGGGGGAUCUUCGGACCUCACGCUAUCAGAUGAGCCUAGGUCGGAUUAGCUAGUUGGUGGGGUAAAGGCCUACCAAGGCGACGAUCCGUAACUGGUCUGAGAGGAUGAUCAGUCACACUGGAACUGAGACACGGUCCAGACUCCUACGGGAGGCAGCAGUGGGGAAUAUUGAACAAAGGGCGAAAGCCUGAUCCAGCCAUGCCGCGUGUGUGAAGAAGGUCUUCGGAUUGUAAAGCACUUUAAGUUGGGAGGAAGGGCAGUAAGUUAAUACCUUGCUGUUUUGACGUUACCAACAGAAUAAGCACCGGCUAACUUCGUG
rnacentral:rRNA from 1 species